GGGGAAGGGGCUUCUGCAGCCAAUGAUGAAGAGACAGUGUCACUGGACUCCAGAAGGCCUGAGGAUCCUGACGCAGUACAGCCUGACAGCCAGCCUGGCAACAUAAUAUCUGUACACACAACAUCUGAAGAAACAAAUAGAACUGGCAGAUGUACAGAUUGCUGUCAGCAAAAGAAGUCUCCAGGAUCUGGACCUUGGUAUGGAAAUUAAAAAAAAAAACACU